GGUGGCUCAGUGGUAGAGCGCUUGCCUUGCAAGUCAGAGGCCCUGGGUUCGAUUCCUCGGCACCA
rfam:Dipodomys ordii contig_18487, whole genome shotgun sequence.